GCUCCCCUCCACAGGGGCAGAAAAUGGACAGUCGAUACAGAGAAGAUUAGCAUGGCCCCUGCACAAGGAUGACACGCAAAUUGGUGAAGCGUUCCAUGUUUUU